GCCGGGAUAGCUCAGCUGGGAGAGCAACAGACUGAAGCGAAUUGUGGCGUUCUGGAGGUCGCGUGUUCAAUCCACGCUCCUGGCA